rnacentral:lncRNA from 1 species
CUGUAAGUUUGUGGAUGAAUUUGUCGGGUUUUAUUGUAUGUUGGUAUACGUAAUUUUGAUGGUCUACGUUGUUGUAAGGUAGGCCAAUUUAGUACUAGUGUAUACUUAUUGACUGGGUAUGAGUGGAAUAGUACGUUUAUUGUCCCGAGGUGCAACUAUUGCCCUGAGGCGUGGUUCUGUCUUGUCUAUAUACAAUCUAUAUCGAUUGAAAACCCCGUUUUUUAUUAGCUAUAAACAAUAAGUCAAAUUUGGAUUGCUUAUUGUACAAAUGCAUGAAUGUGCGACGUUGUUAUUUAAAGAAUGACUGUAAUAUUUUUUCUGUCUAUGAAGAAAU